AUUGAACGCUGGCGGCAUGCCUUACACAUGCAAGUCGAACGGCAGCACGGGUGCUUGCACCUGGUGGCGAGUGGCGAACGGGUGAGUAAUAUAUCGGAACGUACCUUAUUGUGGGGGAUAACGCAGCGAAAGCUGUGCUAAUACCGCAUAAUCCCUUAGGGGGAAAGCGGGGGACCGUAAGGCCUCGCGCAAUUAGAGCGGCCGAUACCUGAUUAGCUAGUUGGUGAGGUAAAGGCUCACCAAGGCGACGAUCAGUAGCUGGUCUGAGAGGACGAUCAGCCACACUGGGACUGAGACCCGGCCCAGACGCCUACCAGAGGCAGGAGUGGGGAAUUUAGGACAAUGGGGGCAACCCUGAUCCAGCAGUGCCGCGUGAGUGAAGAAGGCCGUCGGGUUGUAAAGAUCUGUGGUCAGGGAAGAAACAGCAGCGCUAACACAGAAUGCGAAUGACGGUACCUGAAGAAUAAGCACCGGCUAACUACGUGCCAGCCGCCGCCGUAA
rnacentral:rRNA from 1 species